ensembl:lncRNA
GGGAGGGCGGAGCGCGGGCCGCGCCACAGCGGCGGGUGGUGCGGGACGUGGUGGUGGGUUGCUGUCCCUGCGGUCGUAUCGAGGAGCUCAGUUAGGCUCCGUGAGGGGUUGCGGUGUUACUGAGGACUGCGAGAGGCCGUGAGCCCUCUCAGCUCUGCCCCUUGUGAGGAGAAGGGCCGCCCCAGCCCCGAAUGAAGGAGCUACACUGCCACUUGUGCACCCUUGUUUGACUGAUGCUUGAUCCUGUCUGCUGGGAAGGCUGGCUGAAUGGAGGCAGACCCAUCUCCUCUUUCUCUCCUCUGGAACGUGCUUUCAGUCUGCUGCUGCAGUGCAGAUUUGCAGCUGGGUUCUGCUCAGGGUGUGUGGCUGCUCGGCCUCACUGCUGCUUUCCUGCACUGGAUGCGUGCACCUCCAGGAGUGUUGGUUCUUCUGCAUCUCAGGGAAGGAGACUCAUCCUCAUCUGCGCCCUUUUCAGCUGUGAAGGAAGUGUUGGUGCAGGGUCUCCAGGAGGGCCAUAGGUCCUAUGGGCCAACCUGGGCUCAUCCAUGCAGAGCUCCUCCUGGCGCAGUGUGUCUGCCAUAUCCCAGUUUCUCACACUGGAUGGGCUGAGCUGCACCACGGGGAGGUGUUGGGAAGCACAGCGGCUGAAUGUGCCACUCCAGAGGCCACUCACAGCCAGGGCGCAUCCCCAGACUGCUCAUUUCUGGGCUCUUACCACCCAUGCAAGCACCUCCAUGAGGCCAACGUGCCCAGCAGACUCCACCAUGCGGCAUUUCCCAGCAGAUCCCCCCAUGCUGCUUCUCCAGACUGCAUGUGCAGCUGCAAGCAGGAAUUCCCAGAGGAGCAGAAGAACUCUCCGGGCUCUGCUGUUAUCCUACAAGGCAUCAGCAUGGGGCCGGAUAAACCCAACGGAUCAAGGGCAGCUUGGCUGGUCAAUGGGAGGCAGCCAAAGCAAACAGCAGUGGCUCCCAGACCUCAACAGGAGCCCCUCGGUGGCUCACUGCACUUCAUUUGCUCUUUUGCUUUUAGGAGAAGGGGUGAGGUGUGGGGCUGGGCACGACGACAUGUGGGCUCUCGAGCGAACCCCCCAGGGCCGAUGGAAACUGCGUACCGCUCAGCACGCUGCGCACGUCAUUAGGAAAAUGUUAGUUAAAAGGAAGGAUGCAAAUGGUCCCAGGCUGUGCUUCCUGAUCACUCCGCAGUGCCUCUGUGACAUCAUGUGCUUUUGUUACGGCUCCGAAACGCCUUCGAUGCUUUUUCGGGCACGUUCCCUCCCGCUCUGUCAGGGCUGGUUCACAUUAGGAUGUUUGCUCAGCAGCUACUGGGGUUUUGGCAGGACGGCUGCUGCCUUCUGCUUGCAGAGCACGAGGGGAUCGUGGGAUGCUGCUGGACGUGUCAAAGUGGAGUAUGGUUAUGCUGGGGAGAAAAGCAGCACUCGGGUCCGGACCCAUAGGGCUCCCAUUUGGAGGUGCUGCUGGUGCAAUGGGGCUGGGGGUCCCAUCAGCAUCAUGGGAAAUGGGGACCGCAGUGACCGUGGGCUCUGCAGACCCCUCCGGGGAGGUCACCCCCAUCCCAGACCCCUGGCAAAAAAAGAAAACAGUCCCAGCGUAUUCAUACUUGCAAAAACAAACAGGAGGAAGGCAGGAGAAGGAAGGAGCACGCCGUAGAGGAGUGCUGAGUUCCUAGACCUCCAAUCCCUCCAUUUCCAAUGUCCAUUUCCUCCUGAGCACCCCACACCAAG